CCUACGGGUGGCUGCAGUGGGGAAUAUUGCACAAUGUGCGCAAGCCUGAUGCAGCCAUGCCGCGUGUGUGAAGAAGGCCUUCGGGUUGUAAAGCACUUUCAGCGGGGAGGAAGGCGUUAAGGUUAAUAACCUUGGCGAUUGACGUUACCCGCAGAAGAAGCACCGGCUAACUCCGUGCCAGCAGCCGCGGUAAUACGGAGGGUGCAAGCGUUAAUCGGAAUUACUGGGCGUAAAGCGCACGCAGGCGGUCUGUCAAGUCGGAUGUGAAAUCCCCGGGCUCAACCUGGGAACUGCAUUCGAAACUGGCAGGCUAGAGUCUUGUAGAGGGGGGUAGAAUUCCAGGUGUAGCGGUGAAAUGCGUAGAGAUCUGGAGGAAUACCGGUGGCGAAGGCGGCCCUCUGGACAAAGACUGACGCUCAGGUGCGAAAGCGUGGGGAGCAAACAGGAUUAGAUACCCCUGUAGUC
rnacentral:rRNA from 1 species